UACAGAGGGUGCGAGCGUUGUUCGGAAUUAUUGGGCGUAAAGGGCGCGUAGGCGGUGCGGUAAGUCACUUGUGAAAUCUCCUGGCUCAACUGGGAGCUUGCAGGCGAAACUGCCGUGCUGGAGUGUGGGAGAGGUGCGUGGAAUUCCCGGUGUAGCGGUGAAAUGCGUAGAGAUCGGGAAGAACACCAGUGGCGAAAGCGCUCUGCUGGACUGCAACUGACACUGAGGGACGAAAGCUAGGGGAGCGAAAGGG
rnacentral:rRNA from 1 species